rnacentral:misc_RNA from 1 species
GUGAAUCAUCGAAUCUUUGAACGCACAUUGCGCCCGCUAGUAUUCUGGCGGGCAUGCCUAUUCGAGCGUCAUUGCAACCCCUCAGGCCCAGCCUGGCGUUGGAGGACUGCGCUGCAGCCUCCCAAAGCGAGCGGCGGCGGCGCCUUGGAACCGAACGCAGUACUGUAUCUCGUUCUGGACUCCGGGCGACGGCCAGCCGGAAAACCCCCAACUCUUCGUGGUUGACCUCGAAUUAGGUAGGAAUACCCGCUGAACUUAAGCAUAUCAAUAAGCGGAGGA